UCAGGGAAGGUGCACAGUUAUCUGGUGUUUGGACCUCCUCCUGGCUGAAGAUGAAGGCCCAAAACAGGAUCUUUCCCAGAAGCUGUGUUGCUUUGGCCAGGAAGGUGGCCGGUUGUCUGGAGUCGAAGAUGGUGCCGUCUCAGAAGCUCUCUGGCUCUCACCUGUCCCAGAAACGGCUGGCCUCUGUUUUCCACACCCUCACCCGUGCAGCCUGCCCUCCUCGGAGUCCCGGAGCCAAGGAGGCUCCCGCCGGGGCCUGAGGCAGAAACCUCUCGGGCCGGGCAGACCCCUGUGCUCUCACCAGGAAGGUGGCCGGUUGUCUGGAGCCGAAGAUGGCGCCGCCUCAGAAGCUCUCUCCACUGAAUACUUUUAAAACAAAGAGUAAUUGCUUCCUUGAGCUUUUAAAUACUACUUAAUUGCUUAAUUUUCAGAGAACAAGAGGUGGCAAAUAUUUGGGAGACUCCUCAGAUGGUUUUCCUAUCAACAUAAAUGUGACCAAAAGGAUGCUGGACUCUGGAACAUUAUCCUAGUGAUGUGGUACUCAGUCAUCAGUCAGAGAGAGAGAGAGAGAGAGAGAGAGACCCUGGGGGAAAUGCCUAGUUUUAAAAGCCAAUCUUUGAUGUAUUUGAAGUUUACAAAGACAACCUCUAAAGGUCCGCUGAUAAAAACCUAUGUAUGCAGUUUUCCAGCCUUACUGAAAAGCUUCUCUUUGUACAGACUCUACGCGAGGGCGCAUCUCCUGAAAGAGCCUAAGAUAUUUGGCUUGGGAGUACAUUCAGAGAUCAAAGUGUACCGUUUUACUAGCAAAACUCUACCCAUGGUCCUAUCUGUGCAGUUGUGUGAGCACACUACUCACACCACUAUACUCCUUCCUGUGGAGAGUGAGCAAGAUGGCUCUAUGGAUAAAGGAGCUUGCUGCCUAGCCCAGAGAUCUGAGUUUGAUCCCUGGGGCGCAGGAGGAGCAGCAGCUGGUGUCUAUCCUCCAAGUUCCAGGAUCUCCUAAUGGAGUUAUCGAUUCUGAAGCCAGAAAAAUCCAGAUUUUAAUGAAGUUUUACACUUACCGGUUAUUUGAGCCAUGGUGCUUCUCUCUCUCUCUCUCUCUCUCUCUCUCUCUCUCUCUCUCUCUCUCUCUCUCUCUCUCUCUCUGUGUGUGUGUGUGUGUGUGUGUGUGUGUGUGUGUGUGUGUGUGUGUGUGUGUGUGUGACAGACUGGGGUAGGAUGCACCCAGGUGAGGAAUGGAUUUGACUCUAGGUCAGGUACAGGAUAUUCCUCCUCUUCCUGCAGCCCCAGCCACUGCUGGCCACCAGUCCUGAGCUGGAUACAGCCUCUUGGUUCUCGGGGGAGUUCCACAUCUCUCAGGACAAAGUGGUAAGCCUUGUUUCCAAGACUCAUGGCAUCGGGUGCUUCUCCUGUUAGGUCUGCUGCCCUUUCCCCUGUUUACCCUCCCACUCUGUGGCUGGGUAUGCUUACGCCCAAAGCUUGUAUUUCUCCUGGAAGUUCCACGUUGGUGC
rnacentral:lncRNA from 1 species